GAGGACUGGAGCGUCCUGACCUCAGCCCUCAGCUCUCUCAGCUCUCUCAGCUCCGAGCCCUCAGCCCACACUUCGGAGGAUUUUAUAAAGUCAGAGAGGUUUCUUAGGGUCCGGGUCCGAGCCGCACGCGCCGGCCGGGGUUCACGCGCCUCUGGACGGUGAAGAACCGGUUGAGGAGCUGCUCCUGUCUGUGUGUUGGACAGCUGUGUGCCAGAAGUGCAGCGUUCUCGGGUGUAUUAACUGACUGAGAUGAGGUCGAUCACAUGCCCGUCCAAUUGACAGACAGACAUCACUAGGCUCGAGGUAUCUUGAGUCAUGAGGCUUUCUGUUGGACCUGAGCAGGUUUAGUGACUUCAGCAAAAGACUCCAGUUGCAAAUGCCUGCCUAAAAAUCUACCCUCGACAUUUUCUUAACUGUCUCAUGCCUGAACUAAUAAUGGGCAGUUUUGUAGUUUGGUGAGCAGGAAAUCUGUCUAUUACUUAUUCAGCAGUUUCCUUAAAUAAAUAAAUAAAUAAAUAAAUAAAGCUUUAAAGAUGCUUAAAAAAACAACAACCCACGACUGUCAGUGUCCACUUACUUGCAGACUUACUCAUAUUCUCAUCUUUCUGACUGUAAUGAAUGUCCUUUUUUACUCCUUAAUUAAACGAUG